GAUGAACGCUGGCGGCGUGCCUAAUACAUGCAAGUCGAGCGAACAGACAAGGAGCUUGCUCCCCUGCCGUUAGCGGCGGGCGGGUGAGUAACACGUGCAUAACCUACUUCUAUGACUGGGAUAACUUCGGGAAACCGCUUCCAAUACUGCAUAAUAUAUUCAACCGCAUGGUUCAAUAGUGAAUCGCACCUUUCCCGAUUGUUUUAGCCGAUGUCGGAUUAGCUAGUUGGCGUGGUAAGGUCCUACCAAGGCAACGAUGCGUAGCUGGUCUGAGAGGAUGAUCAGCCACACUGGAACUGAGACACGGUCCAGACUCCUACGGGAGGCAGCAGUAGGGAAUCUUCCGCAAUGGGCGAAAGCCUGACGGAGCAACGCCGCGUGAGUGAUGAAGGUCUUCGGGUCGUAAAGCUCUGUUAUUGGGGAAGAACAGAUGUGUGAGAAACUAUGGACGUCUUGACGGUACCUAAACAGUAAGCACCGGCUAACUACGUG
rnacentral:rRNA from 1 species